rnacentral:lncRNA from 1 species
UUUUUUUGUUUUGAUAUUUAAUGAGGAUUCAGCCAAGCAUUGUGUUCUGUGCUUUACAUUAUCUGAUUUAAUGCCCUGUGAUCUCAAGAGGAGGAAGUUAGCAUCAUCUUCAGUUUACAGGUAAGAAAACUGAGGUUCAUAGAAGAGGUUAAGUCCUUGCUCAGGGUUAUGUAGUUGGUAAACAGUGGAGCCUGGAUGUAAACGAGCAUGGAGCCCUUGUCAGGUCUAGAGUACCAGAGGACUCCGAGAACGUACUCACACGGGUGGCAAUCGGCUGCUCGGGACAUAUGUUGCGGUGGCAUGUAUAAGCUGAGGUGGCACAAUGUUACUGGGAUGAACAGGGAGGCUCAUGUACCUGGGAGGGUUGGUAAGGUGCCUUCAGACUGGCUGUGUAGGGAAACAGAACAGGAACUAGAGUCACGACGUGAACUUACAUUUAAAUAUCUCUUCCCAAAAGAGAACUGUUGGUUUAGUUCAUCACACUUAUAAUGACUAAUUAAAUGUCUGUUCACCCCAUAGGUUGUGGACUUUGCUCAACUUUUUUAUUGCUGCAUCUUCAACCCAUAAGACAAAGGCAGUUAAUGAAUAUUUACUGAAUAUUACAAACCCAUUUCCUUUUGAAAUUCUCUGACAUCUGUGAAACCACUCUCUGUAGAUUUUUCCCUCAACUUACUGGCUGCUCCUCACCAGUCUCUUCCGUGUUCCACUUUCUCCUGACCCUCUAUUGUUUCCCAGGUGUCUACCCUUAACAUACAUGUCAAUCUACUGUAUUUAUGUUCUAGGGGUUAGAAACUGCACCCAGUAGCAUUAACUAGCCUGUAAUUAUUGUCUCUAAAAUCUCUAGUUUAGUUUGAAUUUCUUUCCUGAGCAUGUAACUCUAUGUCCAACUUUUUCCUAGUAUAACUCCACUUUGGAGUCCCAUGGGUACCUCAAAAUCAAUAAAUCUUAUAUGCUCCAUAUGAACACACUAAGCCUCCUUAUUGAAACAUUUGUGUGUCUCUGUAGAUUUUUUUUUCUGCAGAUAUUUUUAUUCUAAAGGUAACAUUUAAAGCUUUCAAUAGAUAAUUUAAAAGGUCCAUGGCUCAAGAAAAGCUUAGAGCUACUGUGCAUUCUUCCUGAAGAUGGAACUCUUCCCUGAUCAUGAUCACAAUGGUUGGGGCAGAUACUCUGUGCAGACUUGCAAAUCCUGGCUAUUGUAGUACUUCUUAACCUCAGUCUCAUGCCUCUUGUGAGGAUAACACAAUCCCUUGGUUUACACAUAUGGCAGCUUGCUUUGCUGUGCUAUCAUUCAUCAUAUGCUUACCCUUCAUUCUGCUUUUAGGACUGGCCUUCCUGUUAGUUUUGGGCUCCUCUGUUAAACUGAAAUGAAUUGAGGCAAGGACAAACAUAGCCCAGGACAUGAAAAAGGGAAAAACUUAAAGACAGUGUAGACAGCCAUGUCUGGUGAUGCAGAAAUAGGAAGGAAAAUGAGAGAAGGGAGAAAGUAAUUAGAAGAAUUAGGAGAAUCGGUAACUUCUGAGAAAAUAACUUGAGAGGAAUUGUGGGAAAGGAAGACAGAUGACAAGGUGAUGGAAAGGAUAUAGAUAAUGAAGGGGAUGUGAAAAAUUCUAAAAUGCUAGAAGGGGCAGCAGUGAAAUUCCUGACUAUGGAGCCCAAGCUGAGAGAUGAAGGACUUGAAAAAUGUGGAGAAAGGGGUUAGAGUUCUGGUGAAGUUCAGGAGCAGUAACUUAGUAAGAGAGAGAGAGAGGAGAGAGCAGGAGACACUUGAAGAAGGUGAGCCCUAUGGUCAAAGUCUUGUGUUUGAUGCUUUCCUCAGUGAUGCUGAGGUGGUUCAAGUGCAUUAUUUUCGUGGCUGGGUUAGCAGAACAGAGAUUAAAUUGGGUAAGAGAGUAUGGGGCAGUGUGUAUGGUGGUUUUAAAAUGUGUGCAUAUUCUCUGAUAUUCUUCUCAUAAGAGGUGUGAUUGAAUACACUUCCCUUAAAAUAUGGGCUGGUCUCAGUGACUGGCUUCUAACGAUGCAGUGGAAGUGAUGCUGUGUAGCCUGUGAAGCCAGGUCAUAAAAGGCAGUGUAACUUCCAUCUGGCUCUCUUGAGAGAUGCUUGCUUUUGGAACCCAUUUACUAUGCUCUGAGGACCCAGGUCACAUAGAAGGAUCUACAGGGAGAGGCACUUAUAUUGUGAACCAACUCUCAGCCUGGGCUGAGCUCCCAGCUAAAUCCAGCUGUACUCUGGCAGUCCUGGAAGGAACCCUCCCAGAAGCCAAUCCUCAAGCCUUUGGUUGAACCAUCCAGGCUGAUGCCAUGUGGCACAGAGAGGAGCCUCAUCCUGUUGAUACCUGUCCAGAUUGUGGAUUUGUGAGGAAAAUGUAUGAUUAUUAUGUUUUAAGUCACUAAAGCUGGUGGUUUGUAUGCAGCUACAGAAAAGAGGAGUAGGGUUUUAGCAAGGUCAUCAACAGAGAUGUUUCUGUGUAUCAGUGUGGUCUAUGCAAAGAGCAAAGUUGUUGGACAUGGGAUGAUCUGAGUUCAGAUCUUUGAUUACCAUUUCUGAGCUCCAUUUGUCCUAUCUUUAAAGUGGAGAUGAUUUGGACCUCAGGGAUUACUGUGCGAUUUAGGAACAAUUGGUAUAAAGUCAGUAGCUGUUACGCGAUUGCCAUUGACAAAUGGCAGCUCUGUUUAUUGUUAGGGAAGCCUGGGAGGAGCUUGGGCUGUGGCAUCAGUUAUAUUUGUGUUUAUCUUCUGGUUCCAUUGCUAACUAAAUGUGUGGGCUUUUGGGCAAGUUAUGGAAGUUCUCUGAAUCAUGCAUUCUUCUUGUGUAAGAGGAGGAUGAAGCCUGCCUUCCAGGGUUGAUGGAAAUUAGAAUCUGUGUACAACAGAUUAGCAAUUGCAUAGUAACUGACUGGCACCUGGUAGGUACUCAACAAGUAGUAAUAUACUAAUUAUAAAUGUGAUAAUUAGUAUGCUAUCCCUGAAUUUAUGACUACUGGCCAGAGUAGGGCAGACUAGAAAAUUCUGACACAAGCACUGAAGCCUUGCAUGCAGUUGAAGGAAGGUUCUAGUAGAGACAGUAAUGAAAUUUCGGGAAGGAUGAUAUUAAUAAGUAGUAUAAGUUUCAAUAGAAGAAACUUUUGAAUGAUGAGAGUAAGAUAAAGACUUCAAAAAAGCAUUUAGAACAUCCUCUUUCUUCUAGUACUGAGAAUAGGAGGAAAUAGGCUUAGAAGAUUAGAAAAAAAUAAUGAGUUUCUAAAUACUAGAAAAGGCCACAAAACUCCACCACAAUGGAUCUGAAGUUCUGAGGGGACAAGUAAGAUGGAGAGACUGAAAGGAAAGUAAUAUGGUUGAUAAGCAGGAUUAGUUUUUAAGAAUUUCAGUAAAAAAGGGGGAGAUUUAAGUCUCUCCAUCAUUCAACAGACAACUCAUGGCCAUAGCUCUGUGUUCUUGUCUCUCGUAUUAGCCACACACUUCAGCUUGCAUAGGACUUGAGAUCCUCCACCUUUGGGCUGAAUCUCUCUCAAACUUUCUUAAAUGGGAAGUUAUUCUUUCCUCAAAAGAUUAUCAAUCAGUAAUUUACUAACUCAAUAUCUGGGAACCUGCAUCCCAAAGUCUUCCCAUGUCUAUUGACUUAAGUCUUUUCAGGAAUCUUGCCCUUUGAACAUGUCCCAUUCCAUAGUUAAUGGCUAUUGAACAUCUCUUUUGGCCUGGACAUAGUAACAAGGUAUACUUAACAGCUCCUGAGAAAGGUAUAUGUCAGCCUCUGGAAACAUUUUUUAAAAAUUAUUUUACCUAUCUAAUUAGCAUGAUGUAUUCAUCUGUCUUCUAUACCUUUGCUAUAAUAUCAUUUAUUCGUUUGGUAUUUACUGAGUAUCUACUAUGUACUAGCCACUGGUCUAGACCCCCUAUAUUCCUGGAACUUGUAAUCUGUGGUGGAGUGGCAGUGGUGAGAAGAUAGACAACAAACAAAUAGACCUGUCCUAGUAGAAAGAACAUCCAUGACAUACAAUAUAUCUUAAUUAGCUACCUGCACAGAACUCUUAUGUGCCUAAGUAAGUGCAGGUGUUGGGUAUAUUAAUGGGAAGGGGAGCCUGGGUCCCUGAGUUGGUUAAGCAUCCAGCUCUUGGUUUCAGCUCAGGUCAUGAUCUCAGGGUCAUGAGAUUGAGCCUUGUGUCGGGCUCCACACUCAGUGUAGCAUUGGCUUGAGAUGCUUUCCCUCUGCCCCUCCCCCCACUGGCAUACAACCUCUCUUUCUCUCAAAUACAAUCUCAAAGAGAGAGAGAGAGAGAGAAAGGAAAGCCUAAGUGGCCUGGAAUGCUGACUGCCAUCCUGCCUGUCCAUACUGUACACUCAGAUCCAUUGGAGUACAAGCCGGUCUUACUUCCCUGACUUAAUCUUGGACCAUCCACAAGCAACUUCCCAGACCCUACUAGAAUUCUUCUCUCUUCUUUCUCCUUUCUAUCCCAUACAUGGUACUGGGUUUCAAGGAGCCAAGGUAUGGGUCUGUUCAAGUCUCUGAGACAGCACCGUAAUGAAGGUCCCUGAAAGUUUCUCCAGAGAGUAAUGAUACCCAAAAUGCCACCUGCAAUGAGAUAAGAAGCUUGUUGUGCCAGAAUAGAGAUCAGUGCUUUGUGUCCCCUAUAAAGAAAAAUCUCAGCUGAACUAUAUGGUUUUCUAAGUGAUUUACUGGAUUUGCAUUCUAAUGUUGGAUUCCUAUCUUGUCACAGAUUGGGAACAAAUAAUUUGUAGACAGGUCUGUGGGCCACACUUUGAGUAGCUUGCUCUUAAGCGUAAAUUGCAAAUUAGGGAACCAUGUUCCUGUACCUGGUCUGCACACUGUUG